rnacentral:rRNA from 1 species
UGAAGCCCAGCUUGCUGGGUGGAUUAGUGGCGAACGGGUGAGUAACACGUGAGCAACCUGCCCCUGACUCUGGGAUAACAGCCGGAAACGGUUGCUAAUACCGGAUAUGCAUCAUGGCCGCAUGGUCUGUGGUGGGAAAGAUUUUUCGGUUGGGGAUGGGCUCGCGGCCUAUCAGCUUGUUGGUGAGGUAGUGGCUCACCAAGGCGUCGACGGGUAGCCGGCCUGAGAGGGUGACCGGCCACACUGGGACUGAGACACGGCCCAGACUCCUACGGGAGGCAGCAGUGGGGAAUAUUGCACAAUGGGCGGAAGCCUGAUGCAGCAACGCCGCGUGAGGGAUGACGGCCUUCGGGUUGUAAACCUCUUUUAGCAGGGAAGAAGCGUAAGUGACGGUACCUGCAGAAAAAGCGCCGGCUAACUACGUGCCAGCAGCCGCGGUAAUACGUAGGGCGCAAGCGUUAUCCGGAAUUAUUGGGCGUAAAGAGCUCGUAGGCGGUUUGUCGCGUCUGCUGUGAAAACCCGAGGCUCAACCUCGGGCCUGCAGUGGGUACGGGCAGACUAGAGUGCGGUAGGGGAGAUUGGAAUUCCUGGUGUAGCGGUGGAAUGCGCAGAUAUCAGGAGGAACACCGAUGGCGAAGGCAGAUCUCUGGGCCGUUACUGACGCUGAGGAGCGAAAGGGUGGGGAGCAAACAGGCUUAGAUACCCUGGUAGUCCACCCCGUAAACGUUGGGAACUAGUUGUGGGGGCCUUUCCACGGUCUCCGUGACGCAGCUAACGCAUUAAGUUCC